GACAGCACUAAAUGAGGCAGGCCAGGCUGUCAUCGUCUUCUGAAAUUAUUCCGUCUGCUCAAUGUGAUGUCAUGGACCUUACCUCUUAAUGAGUCCCUGCCCCUCUAACUUGAGUGCAAAAUCUUUACAAGCCACGUGGUAAACAUUGAAGUAUUUGAGCGUCCCAAGUGAAAAAGGAGUUUGAUGAUGCAAUGCUGACUAAAGGUUGGAACUGCCAGAAAAUCUGCGACAAGGGGUCUUUGUCAGUGGUUGUGUAUCCAGUGUAUCUGGGACAGAGGGGACCCUCCACAGCUCUUUGUGGAAUCGCUGGAUGUUGGCGCCUGUAACGCUUCACCAUUCAUUUUUCUGGCUUCUCCAGCGUCCAUGAAGGGUGCCCACAGCAUUCAAAAUGCUCAUGAAUCUUGAAACUUGGAACCCAGAAGUUAUAAUUUGCUGAAUAGAAAUAAACACAAGAAAUAAACACGAGU
ensembl:lncRNA